GGAGGUAGUUCAGUGGUAGAGUGUUUGUCUAGCAUGCACAAGGCCCUGGGUUCCAUCCCAGGACCUCCA
rnacentral:tRNA from 1 species